UUAACUAAAACCAAAACAGAGGUAUGUUACUGUUAAUAACACAAAUGGAAAAUUCCUAGUUAAA
rnacentral:tRNA from 1 species